rnacentral:lncRNA from 1 species
AUGGCAGAGAAGACAGGAAUCAGCAUCACAAGGAAUGGAGAUAGUUGCAUGAACCUCCACAAAGGGACACUCGGAAUCCCAGGCUCAGCCUUCAGAGUUGGAAAUCUCUCGCUGCAUGCUUCCAUGGCUUUUAUUAAAGAACAAGGAGUCUUCAGUGCGAUGACUUCUGGGAAGAGUUUGGGGACUGCUUUGUCUAACACACAGGCUAUGGUAAGGAGAUUGGCAGUUUGUUCUCCUGGGAAGUGGAGCUUCCUGGAUGGAAUAUGAAGCCCAGGAAUCACAUCAAUGCUAUGUGUCUGGUUAUUCUUGCAACGGCUGCCAUAAUCUCCCUAGCCCAUAUUCCCUUCUGGAGCCUCCUCACUCCCGCAUCAAGAAGCAGCUUGUAACCUCCUUCCUCUGGCAUAUGGAUGGGCUCCUGGCUCACACAACCACGUGUGACUGUGUUUUCUUCAGCCAGGAUACAAGGUGAUGUGCCACCUCCUUGUGACCAAAACCUGGGGCUGUGGCCCUGACUCAUCACACAGGCUUCCAGCCACUCGAGGGGCUGAGUUGAGAGGAAGGCUUGGCCAUAUGAGAGGCUCUUUUAGGUGACCCACCGCAUUUGUCUUCUAGAGCUGCCACAAUAAGGCACACAGACUCUUGGCUUACAGAACAAGAGCUUAUUUUCCUAUGAUUCUGGAGGCUGGAAGUUUGAGAUCAAGCUGUCUGUGAAGUUGGUUCCUCCCAGUACCUCUCUCUUUGAGUUGUAGGUAGCCUCCCCAUGUCAUUCCUCUCACCCUCCAGCAGGUGUGAAUGUUUCUGAGGAUACCAGUUUUAUUGCAUUAGGGCCAACCAAUGACUUCAUCGCCUCUCGAAAGAUCCUAUCACAUUGUGAGGUGCUGGGCGUUAGGACUUCAACAUAAAAAUUCAGACAAGGUCACAAUUCAGCCCACAGAAGCCCAGCUGAGGUCCCAGGCAACAGCCAGCAUCAGCCAUCAGCUCCUGAACAGAGACUGGAGGCGCCCCCACAUGACACCAGCACUGACCACAGUCCUGGACACUGAGGAGCAGAGAGAUGUGCUGUCACUUUGUGCCUUUUCAAGCUCCUGACCCACAGAAUCUAUGGGCAGAAUACCAUUCAACACCUCUGAAUUCUAAAGACUGGUAUGUGGCUUGUUACUCAACAAAUAGUAACUGAAAUAUACUUUGGGUGGGGAGUCCCAGAUUAUUUCACCCAAUCUUUACAUCCAUCUAGUGCACGUUUCAUGGAUGAGGAAACCGAGACAUG